rnacentral:rRNA from 1 species
GUGAGGAAUAUUGGUCAAUGGAGGCAACUCUGAACCAGCCAUGCCGCGUGCAGGAAGACUGCCCUAUGGGUUGUAAACUGCUUUUAUACAGGAAGAAACUUAUCCACGUGUGGGUAACUGACGGUACUGUACGAAUAAGGACCGGCUAACUCCGUGCCAGCAGCCGCGGUAAUACGGAGGGUCCAAGCGUUAUCCGGAAUCAUUGGGUUUAAAGGGUCCGUAGGCGGGCGAUUAAGUCAGAGGUGAAAUCCCACAGCUCAACUGUGGAACUGCCUUUGAUACUGGUUGUCUUGAGUUACAGUGAAGUAGAUAGAAUAUGUAGUGUAGCGGUGAAAUGCAUAGAUAUUACAUAGAAUACCGAUUGCGAAGGCAGUCUACUAACUGUCGACUGACGCUAAGGGACGAAAGCGUGGGGAGCGAACAGGAUUAGAUACCCUAGUAGUCC